ensembl:lncRNA
AUGGAUGAUCUGUGCCGCCGGGGAUUCACUUGCGAGCGCAGCCCGGGUAAGGAGGAGGGGGGGAGCAGUUGGCCGGCCGGGGCUGAGUCGGGGUGUAAGGCGGCGGGUGCAUCGCCGGAGGGUACAUCUCGUAGUCGUAGGUGUACGGAGGUGCUGAAGACGCCGACCCGCGCUCCUCGCCCGUUCUUCAUGCACAUGCACACGCACAGGAACAGGGCCGCCACCGCCCCCAUCAGGAACACCACGCCGAAAACGAUACCGGAGAUGGCGGUUCCUCUGGAACACACACACGCAGAGACACACAUACACAAACAAACUGUGAGCCAUCCAGUCAAGUGUGAUGAGAGGCAGCUGUCUCAAACAGACACGCAACCGGUACUUCUUCGUUGCUGCCAUGGAGACCGGACCGCUUCAUCUGAUGUAACCGAGCGGUGUGAUGUGUGCAUGUGCUAAGUGUGUGACGACGUGACUGCAGAGGAGUUUGUCAGUUGGCACCGGACGAAAUUGAAGAAAACGCUCAUCAUUAGCAGGAUUGUUAGCGCAGUCAGCGUUAGUCAGCGUGUCCGAUUCAGCCCAGGCUUCUUUCAAGAGCAGCGAAUCCUCCCUUUUACCGGGUCAUUCGCCGAGUUUACGUUGGGAAUAUUCGUACAAACACACAACUUUGCAACCAGAGAUUAUAAAUACACACGUGCUGCCCUAUCUUAAAGGAAACAGAAGUCUGUGAACGAGGUGUGUGGAGGCAGCUGUGCUGAAUCAAGGCAGGCAGAGGUCAAAGGUCAAAUCCUUUGAAGGGUCCUUUGGCAUAUUGAAGGACAGCUGGCGUGUGAGUUAGUUGUUCUCGCUCAUUUUUUAAUCUUUACCGCCAGACCCGGAACUGCGACAAACCAAAGGCCGUGUGUGCAAAUAAUAAAGAAAAUCUUCACGUUAAAUGGUUGUUGGUGCAACAAAAAUCAUAAAAUCUGGUGGGAAGACUGGCUGUACAGAUGAUUUUCACCAAAACAUGGCAUCUCUUGCUUCCAAUAGUAGAAUCACACAACACAAUGGGUUGUUUUGACAUAUUUGUGUUGUCAAGACAACAACGAAAGUAUAAUAAAAAAAAAAAGCGAUUUUCAGAGCCCUGCAAAUCCAAGGCUGUCCACGCCUGAACAGCUGCACGGAGGCCUCGUGGCAGUCACGGUCUUAACUUCACAAAAGAUGUCUGACAACAGAUUUGUCAAUGAAAACAGGAGAAACGGUGCCCUUUUGCUUCGCUGCUAGCAUGGUACUAGCAUGGUACUAGCAUAGUACUAGCAUAUCGUUUUAAACUGCUGCACAAGACCGAAGCAUAUACACAUAACCCACACUACAUUGAGUUUUUGGCCAUUCAUGGCCGCUAGCUUGGCUUGGCCAGCCUGGAUCGCUGACUGCACUGCUAACUGAGCUAACGACAGCUCCGUACGUGGUUACUCUAAUGACAUACUGCUUGCCUAGUGAUGCCUACUUGUUCCAAGUAUGUAUUGGACGGAUGACUUAUUCUGACAUAUUGCACAAACGUCACAUAUUAUAUCUUUAAUGUGCUUGUUCUUGUGUCCGAGCGUCAACUCACGAGAGGACGUCCCCCACGUAGGCGUAGUAGGAGCAGCAGAAGGGUGGCGUUCCAUCGCAGCAGUACUCUAUGCAGCCUUCACACUGGGCUUCGCUGCCACCUGCAAUACACACACACACACACACAAACAGUAAGAAUCUGCUAUUGGAGGGUGUUACAUUUUGAGGAAACGGAGAUCGCUUGAGAUUCCCCUGAGUGAGUUCUGGUACAUAAAACAGAAAACAGAAAAACCCUUUGACAAAAAAACACUCAUAUAAAUCACCUUUUUCCCCAAAUAAAAAAGGGUUAUUAAGACAAAAUACUUGGCACUUUAAUAUUUGAAGCUGUUAAGAAAUCAGAAGUGUCCACUUAUACAUAAAGAAGCCCUUCAAAGAAACUAUGAAGUCACGUUUCGUUAUCUGGGGAACUUUUUUUUUUUUAACCGUCCCUUUCAAAAUACCUUGAAAGCUAUAAUGAAGCCUUUCAUGAACGAACCUCAAAGCACACAUCCCUCAACCGGCAGCCUCUAUUUAUACCUUCAAAAGGCUGAUUUAAAGGCACGAAGACAGUCGAUUUAUUAUGAGCUCGGAGAACUUGAGAAGCACUCGCCGGGUUUUAAAAAAAGAAGCAAAUCAAUACCUGUGGAGCGUCGGGGGAAAUGAAGUUAACGAAAAAGAUCUCCGCGGCGAACUUGAACAGAGACCUGGGGUUCUGAUCCAAUAAACGGAGUCACCCCUGCGGGUCUGUACUAGGACAUUUUAAUCAGGAGCCAAAAUGAAACCACUGGGAGAUUUAAAGAAGUGGCAGGACGCUUCCUAAUUGUCUUUCAAGCAGAAGUUUGUGAAGACUUCUGAAGUCCUGUUUGUGGCGAUUUGAUCCUUUCUUUAAUUCACAAGUACAAACGGACUCAGAGAGCGGACUCCUGCUCAAAUAUAACAUAUUAUACAAUACCAGAUUACAUGGCGACAACCAACUGUUGCCGUGUAAAAGCCGAGUUAAUAGCAGACGUGCUUGAUUUAUUUUUCCGCAUCCUGGCUGACAGCGAGUCAGCACACAUGGCCGAGCAGCUGAAUCCAACGCCGUAGGCUGCGAACUGGCUGAUUAUGACGGACGAGCGUUUGUCACAGCCUGAAAAAUGUGUAAUUUCCACACGAUAGCGUGGCGUUAUUGAUGAGCUUGGACCGUAUUAAGUCGUCCGGGUUGCUUGCUGGAAUUUGCUGACAUCAUAGCUGCUUUUUUUUUUUUUUUUUUUUUAAAUGAAAGUUUGUGUCCAUGUGUUGAUUAGUUUGUCCUGUUGUAAGGAUGGUUUGAUGAUGGGAUCUGGAUAGAACUUGGCAGACAGACCUGGAACAAGUUGUGGGAUUUUGGUGGAGACUGGAAGAGCUUGGAAAACCUACCUCGAAGUCACCCAAUGGUUUGUCAUCCACCAUUUUGAAACUUUCUUGGUUGUGGAAAUGUGGUUGUCACCAUCUUUUUUUUGAGCCAGAAUCGACCGUAUAUUGACAAGAGGGUGGGGCUGAGGAGGAUACUGACCAUCACAAGGUAGCAACACCCUAUAGCAUACCCUGCAUUAGUGUCUCACUUUACUCUAAAUUGGGACCAUAAUCUACAAAAUGACCAUCAUGCUGUAUUGAAGAAGACUUGUAACUAGAGAUUGAGACCACAAACUCACCGAGAGAAGGUUUACUGAGACGAUUAAUCAAGUAAAAAGUAGGGUCAUUUUCUCAUAAGCUUAACUACAAUCA